rnacentral:rRNA from 1 species
ACAGCAGUCGCCACGGUAAUACGAGGGGAGCUAGCGUUGUUCGGAAUUACUGGGCGUAAAGCGCGCGUAGGCGGCUUUUUAAGUCAGAGGUGAAAGCCCGGGGCUCAACCCCGGAAUUGCCUUUGAAACUGGAAAGCUAGAAUCUUGGAGAGGUCAGUGGAAUUCCGAGUGUAGAGGUGAAAUUCGUAGAUAUUCGGAAGAACACCAGUGGCGAAGGCGACUGACUGGACAAGUAUUGACGCUGUGGUGCGAAAGCGUGGGGAGCAAACAGGAUUAGAUACCCCCGUAGUCCCUGUCUCUUAUAC